AACGAACGCUGGCGGCAUGCCUAACACAUGCAAGUCGAACGAGACCUUCGGGUCUAGUGGCGCACGGGUGCGUAACGCGUGGGAACCUGCCCUUAGGUUCGGAAUAACUCCCCGAAAGGGGUGCUAAUACCGGAUAAUGUCUUCGGACCAAAGAUUUAUCGCCUUUGGAUGGGCCCGCGUUGGAUUAGCUAGUUGGUAGGGUAAAAGCCUACCAAGGCGACGAUCCAUAGCUGGUCUGAGAGGAUGAUCAGCCACACUGGGACUGAGACACGGCCCAGACUCCUACGGGAGGAAGCAGUGGGGAAUAUUGGACAAUGGGCGAAAGCCGGAUCCAGCAAUGACGCGGGAGUGAUGAAGGCCUUAGGGUUGUAAAGCUCUAUUACCCGGGAUGAUAAUGACAGUACCGGGAGAAUAAGCUCCGGCUAACUCCGUG
rnacentral:rRNA from 1 species